AUGGCUCGUCCCCUGCUUGUUCUGCUUCACCUGUCCUGCGCCAGCACCGCGCUCCAGGCCACAGGCUCGACCUCGCAGAGCGCGCCCGCCGCCGGAAUGGCCUCCAGCGCCGCCGCCGACGUGGUUGAGACCGAGCUGUUCCCGUUCAUCCGCGUGUACAAGAGCGGCCGCAUCGAGCGCCUGCUCGGCACCGACACCGUGCCGGCGUCCCUGGACGCCUCCACGGGCGUGGCGUCCAAGGACGUCGUCAUCGACCCAGCCACCGGCGUCUCCGUCCGCCUCUACCUUCCGCCGGCGGCUGCCGCGUCCGGGGGCGAAGGCAAGAAGCUGCCCGUCCUCGUGUACUUCCACGGCGGCGGGUUCAUGGUCGAGACGGCGGCCUCCCCGACGUACCACCGCUACCUGAACGCGCUCGCCGCCCGCGCGGGCGUCCUCGCGGUGUCCGCCGAGUACCGCCGCGUGCCGGAGCACCCGCUUCCCGCGGCCUACGACGACUCGUGGGCGGCGCUCGCGUGGGCGGUCGCCGGCUCCGCCCCGGGAGGCCCCGAGCCGUGGCUCGCGGCGCACGGGGACGCGUCCCGCGUGUUCCUGGCCGGCGACAGCGCGGGCGCCAACAUCGCGCACAACGUCGCCCUGCGCGCCGCCGCCGAGGGGCUCCCGCGCCCGUGCGCGGCCAUCGUCGGCGUGCUGCUGGUGCACCCCUACUUCUGGGACCCGACCAACGCCAUGGCGCCGGCGCUCGAGGUCAGGAUCCGCAACGAGUGGCGGUUCAUGUGCGCGCGCCCCGACGCCGGGGUCGACGACCCGAGGUUCUGCCCGACGUGCGCCGAGGCGGCGCCGCGGCUCGCGGCGCUGCCGUGCGAGAGGGCGAUGGUGGCCGUGGCGGGCGACGACUUCCUGGCGGUGAAGGGGCGGGCGUACCACGCGGCGCUGCUCGCGAGCGGGUGGCGCGGCGAGGCCGAGCUGGUGGACACGCCGGGGCAGGACCACGUGUUCCAUCUCAUGCGGCCGGGGACGGAGGCGGCCGCCGAGAUGUUGGACCGCGUCGCGGGUUUCAUUUCUCGUGCUGCUUGA
rnacentral:rRNA from 1 species